rnacentral:rRNA from 1 species
CCUACGGGAGGCAGCAGUGAGGAAUAUUGGUCAAUGGGCGCAGGCCUGAACCAGCCAAGUCGCGUGAAGGAUGACUGCCCUACGGGUUGUAAACUUCUUUUGUAAGGGAGUAAAGUGAGGCACGUGUGCCUUUUUGCAUGUAUUUUAUGAAUAAGGAUCGGCUAACUCCGUGCCAGCAGCCGCGGUAAUACGGAGGAUCCGAGCGUUAUCCGGAUUUAUUGGGUUUAAAGGGAGCGUAGACGGGUUGUUAAGUCAGUUGUGAAAGUUUGCGGCUCAACCGUAAAAUUGCAUUUGAUACUGGCAGCCUUGAGUACAGUAGAGGUAGGCGGAAUUCGUGGUGUAGCGGUGAAAUGCUUAGAUAUCACGAAGAACUCCGAUUGCGAAGGCAGCCUACUAGACUGCCACUGACAUUGAUGCUCGAAAGUGUGGGUAUCAAACAGGAUUAGAUACCCGAGUAGUC